rnacentral:rRNA from 1 species
AUGGCGAAGAAGCGAAGCUCCAACAAAGGAGGGCGACGGGGCAAGAGAGGUGGUGCCGCCAAUGCUGGUGCCCCGCGUCGUUUUGUGUUCAACGAGCAAAAGAAGUUUGACGUUCCUCCAAGCUGCAAAAGUGAUGACCCUGAGGUAAACAGAUUGAACAACAGCUUGGCUGUCUACUACGGGACCAUGGCAACCUGCAGGGAGAACGUGCACGCUCUGCUGGUGGAAGAGCUCCAGGACAGUAACGUGGGUCUGAAACAAGCUGAGGCAAGAUACGAGGGAAUGAAGGUGACCGCGCACAGGAUGAUGGCACAAAUUACAGAUAGGCAGGGCAAGCCGGUGCCUUUCCCUUCCCACUUUAACCAUGCCGUGAAGCUGUAG